GAUUCCUUAACUUAAUCGGUAAAGUGUGUUUUUGAUAAGAACAUUUUCAGCGUUCAAGUCGCUGAGGAAUCA
rnacentral:tRNA from 1 species